rnacentral:misc_RNA from 2 species
AACGCAUAUUGCGCUCUUUGGUAUUCCGAAGAGCAUGCUUGUUUGAGUAUCAGUAAACACCUCAAAGCCCUUUUUCUUUUUUUUGAAGAAAGGCUUUGGACUUGAGCAAUCCCAACACUUUUUUCUUAAGAGUGGCGGGUUGCUUGAAAUGCAGGUGCAGCUGGACAUUCUCCUGAGCUAAAAGCAUAUUCAUUUAGUCCCGUCAAACGGAUUAUUACUUUUGCUGCAGCUAACAUAAAGGGAGUUUGACCAUUUUGGCUGACUGAUGCAGGAUUUUCACAAGAGUCUUCAAAAGCUCUUGUUAAACUCGAUCUCAAAUCAAGUAAGACUACCCGCUGAACUUAA